rnacentral:rRNA from 1 species
GACGGGGGGGGGGUGCUAAUACAUGCAAGUAGAACGCUGAAGAGAGGAGCUUGCUCUUCUUGGAUGAGUUGCGAACGGGUGAGUAACGCGUAGGUAACCUGCCUUGUAGCGGGGGAUAACUAUUGGAAACGAUAGCUAAUACCGCAUAACAAUGGAUGACACAUGUCAUUUAUUUGAAAGGGGCAAUUGCUCCACUACAAGAUGGACCUGCGUUGUAUUAGCUAGUAGGUGAGGUAACGGCUCACCUAGGCGACGAUACAUAGCCGACCUGAGAGGGUGAUCGGCCACACUGGGACUGAGACACGGCCCAGACUCCUACGGGAGGCAGCAGUAGGGAAUCUUCGGCAAUGGGGGCAACCCUGACCGAGCAACGCCGCGUGAGUGAAGAAGGUUUUCGGAUCGUAAAGCUCUGUUGUAAGUCAAGAACGAGUGUGAGAGUGGAAAGUUCACACUGUGACGGUAGCUUACCAGAAAGGGACGGCUAACUACGUGCCAGCAGCCGCGGUAAUACGUAGGUCCCGAGCGUUGUCCGGAUUUAUUGGGCGUAAAGCGAGCGCAGGCGGUUUGAUAAGUCUGAAGUUAAAGGCUGUGGCUCAACCAUAGUUCGCUUUGGAAACUGUCAAACUUGAGUGCAGAAGGGGAGAGUGGAAUUCCAUGUGUAGCGGUGAAAUGCGUAGAUAUAUGGAGGAACACCGGUGGCGAAAGCGGCUCUCUGGUCUGUAACUGACGCUGAGGCUCGAAAGCGUGGGGAGCGAACAGGAUUAGAUACCCUGGUAGUCCACGCCGUAAACGAUGAGUGCUAGGUGUUGGAUCCUUUCCGGGAUUCAGUGCCGCAGCUAACGCAUUAAGCACUCCGCCUGGGGAGUACGACCGCAAGGUUGAAACUCAAAGGAAUUGACGGGGGCCCGCACAAGCGGUGGAGCAUGUGGUUUAAUUCGAAGCAACGCGAAGAACCUUACCAGGUCUUGACAUCCCGAUGCUAUUUCUAGAGAUAGAAAGUUACUUCGGUACAUCGGUGACAGGUGGUGCAUGGUUGUCGUCAGCUCGUGUCGUGAGAUGUUGGGUUAAGUCCCGCAACGAGCGCAACCCCUAUUGUUAGUUGCCAUCAUUCAGUUGGGCACUCUAGCGAGACUGCCGGUAAUAAACCGGAGGAAGGUGGGGAUGACGUCAAAUCAUCAUGCCCCUUAUGACCUGGGCUACACACGUGCUACAAUGGUUGGUACAACGAGUUGCGAGUCGGUGACGGCAAGCUAAUCUCUUAAAGCCAAUCUCAGUUCGGAUUGUAGGCUGCAACUCGCCUACAUGAAGUCGGAAUCGCUAGUAAUCGCGGAUCAGCACGCCGCGGUGAAUACGUUCCCGGGCCUUGUACACACCGCCCGUCACACCACGAGAGUUUGUAACACCCGAAGUCGGUGAGGUAACCUUUUGGAGCCAGCCGCCUAAGGUGGAAAGAUAUG